AGAGCUUGGAAUCCGUCUCUGCUCUUCUGCAUUCUCCACCUCGGGAGCCCCUGGGGACUCUGUGACGGCCUCUGUUGCCCUGUGAUCUGCAGGUCCGGAGAGACGCACAGCUAAGAUGUCAGGACAUCCUGGAAGCUGGGAAAGGGUCUUGCCAUCUCUAAGCUGGACCUGGUGACCUUUUUGGAGGGAAAGAAAGAGCCCUGGACUGUGAAGAGUGAGGAGACCAUAGCUGCACAGCCAGAGAUGGGGUUCCAUCAUGUUUUCCAGGCUGAUCUCAAACUCCCACGGUCAAGCGAUCUGCUGGCCUCGGCCUCUCAAGUCCAGAUGUAUAAUCUCAUCCCUGAACAUUUCUGAUGGUGUGAUUAUGACAUGUGACUUUAUCUGGCAACAGAGUGAGUUGUUGCUCCCGCCUGAGCCCAGCCCCCAGAAAGGAUUGUGACAUAUCGUUGGACCCAGAAUUGAGGUGGAAUUGUGACAUAUAACUUGGCCAAGCACACAGAUGUAAUGGUGUGGUGACUCUCAUACCUAGAACUGGGACCUGUGCAGGAUUGUUAAUUCAUUACUGGACAUUCCUGUGGGUGUGAUUGUUACAUAUGCCUAUGUUCAGCACCCGAGUGAUUUGAUUUUGCUGCCUGGUCUCAGUCCAAAUGUAAGAUUGUGAUUUAUCGCUGAAUCCAGCACCUCGGUGAUUUGACUCUCCCUUUUUUUGUGGGAGGGAUCCUGCAAAUUUUGGGUAUUGUCAAUUAUUGCUGAAUCCUGUACCCAUGUUAUGACUCUCCCAAAUGUGCCUUACCUGUUGUGGCACAAUAUAUCACAUUAGACAUUGUUAAAUAUUGUUGGGUUCAACACCUGGGUGAUGGAUGUAACUUUUUUUCUGGGCCUGCCUACAGGGGACCUUGUGACAUAACUCAAUGCCCAUCAUCAUGGUAAUGUUACUCUCUUCUCCUGCCUGAUCUCUGCUCACAGAGAAAUUGUGACACAUCACUGGCCUAGCAUCUAGGUGAUGUGACUCUCCUCUUUUUUUCAGGCUCUGCAUAUUUGGGUAUUGUGACAUAUUGCUGAACUCAACACCUAAGGGAUGGGAGUCUCCUACCUAGGCCCUUCCUACAGGGGACAUUGUGACAUGUCUCUGCAUUCCUCAUCCAGGAGAUGUGACUCUCCUUUUCUGCCUACACCCUGCCUACACAGAAAGUUGUGGCAUAUUGCUGUGGUCAGCAACCAGAUGAUAUAUUUCUCCUGCCUGGGUCUUUAUUACAGGAAAGAUGAUUGACAUAUUACUGGGCCCAGCAUCCAGAUGAUGUGACUCUCUUCUUCUGUUGGUCCUUGCUUACAGGGAAACUGUAGCAUAUUGCUACACCCAACACCUAGCUUAUGUGAUUCUUCUUUUAGGUUUGCCUUCAGGGAACAUUGUGACAUAUUGCUGGGCCCUGCACUGAUAAUUUGUGACUCUUCUGCCUGUGAUUUGCCCACUUGGGGCAUUGUGACAUAUUGCUGGGUUUAACACUCAGGUGAUGUAACUUUUAUGCCUAGGCCUUGCUUACAGGAGGCAUUUUGAAAUGUCUUUGUGGCUGGGCAUGGUGGCUCAUGUCUGUAAUCCCAGCGCUUGGGGAGGCCAAGGUGGGCAGAUCACAAAGUCAGGAGUUCGAGACCAGCCUGGUCAACAUGGUGAAAACCUGUCUCUACUAAAACAAAACAAAACAAAACAAAACAAAA
ensembl:lncRNA novel transcript